AGAGGAAUAGCUGGGUCAAAUGGCUGGGUCAAAUUCCCGGUUUUCCAAGGAAUCUCCAUACUAUUUUCCAUAUUGGCUGCACCAAUUUGCAGUCCCACCAGCAAU
rnacentral:pre_miRNA from 1 species